rnacentral:lncRNA from 1 species
AGCUCUGUUUUGGCUUUUUCUUUGAAUUUGGGAAAAUAAAAGUCAUGACAGGGACUGAGUGCUGUUAUGGUCACCAACUGGUAAGGAAAUCGAGAGUUCAGAUUUUAGAAUGUCGCCUCUCAUCUUUCACCCAUUACGUCUUGUACUUGGAUGGUUAAAAAUAGUUCAAAUGACAGGCUUUAUAAAGAAAAGAUGGUAGGGGAGGUGAAAUUAUAGGGG